UACGAAGGGGGCUAGCGUUGCUCGGAAUCACUGGGCGUAAGGCGCACGUAGGCGGCUCUUUAAGUCAGGGGUGAAAUCCCAAGGCUCAACCUUGGAACUGCCUUUGAUACUGGGGAUCUCGAGUCCGGAAGAGGUGAGUGGAACUGCGAGUGUAGAGGUGAAAUUCGUAGAUAUUCGCAAGAACACCAGUGGCGAAGGCGGCUCACUGGUCCGGUACUGACGCUGAGGUGCGAAAGCGUGGGGAGCAAACAGG
rnacentral:rRNA from 1 species